rfam:Bacillus pseudofirmus OF4, complete genome.
AUAAAAAUGAACAUCAUACCGUAGACAGUAGGUGCAUUGGUUGCUUAAUUUCCUACCGAGGUAAGCUUAUAGAUUCAGUGUAACUGACAUCAAUAAUGCCCUCAUGUCUACAUGGGGGCUUUUUAUAUUCGCUU